rnacentral:rRNA from 1 species
GACGAACGCUGGCGGCGUGCUUAACACAUGCCAGUCGAACGGAAAGGCCCUGCUUUUGUGGGGUGCUCGAGUGGCGAACGGGUGAGUAACACGUGAGUAACCUGCCCUUGACUUUGGGAUAACUUCAGGAAACUGGGGCUAAUACCGGAUAGGAGCUCCUGCUGCAUGGUGGGGGUUGGAAAGUUUCGGCGGUUGGGGAUGGACUCGCGGCUUAUCAGCUUGUUGGUGGGGUAGUGGCUUACCAAGGCUUUGACGGGUAGCCGGCCUGGGAGGGUGACCGGCAACAUUGGGACUGAGAUACGGCCCAGACUCCUACGGGAGGAAGCAGUGGGGAAUAUUGCACAAUGGGCGGAAGCCUGAUGCAGCAACGCCGCGUGCGGGAUGACGGCCUUCGGGUUGUAAACCGCUUUCGCCUGUGACGAAGCGUGAGUGACGGUAAUGGGGAAAGAAGCACCGGCUAACUACGU